UACGUAGGGUGCGAGCGUUGUCCGGAAUUAUUGGGCGUAAAGGGCUCGUAGGCGGUUUGUCGCGUCGGGAGUGAAAACCUUGGGCUUAACUCAGGGCUUGCUUUCGAUACGGGCAGACUAGAGGUAUGCAGGGGAGAACGGAAUUCCUGGUGUAGCGGUGAAAUGCGUAGAUAUUGGGAGGAACACCAGUGGCGAAGGCGGCUACCUGGACCGGAACUGACGCUGAUGCGCGAAAGCGUGGGUAGCAAACAGG
rnacentral:rRNA from 1 species